rnacentral:rRNA from 1 species
UACGAAGGGAGCUAGCGUUGUUCGGAAUCACUGGGCGUAAAGCGCACGUAGGCGGAUUUGCCAGUCAGGGGUGAAAUCCCGGGGCUCAACCUCGGAACUGCCUUUGAUACAGCAAGUCUUGAGUUCGAGAGAGGUGGGUGGAAUUCCUAGUGUAGAGGUGAAAUUCGUAGAUAUUAGGAAGAACACCGGUGGCGAAGGCGGCGACCUGGGUAGAUACUGACGCUGAGGUGCGAAAGCGUGGGGAGCAAACAGG